UAAAGAGGACGACCUCGCCCACCCCGGGCUUUAGAAUGCGGGACGACCCGC
rnacentral:ncRNA from 1 species